rnacentral:tRNA from 1 species
GAUGUAUAUUAAUGAACUUCUAAUUCAGUCUUAAGUAAUUUAUUUUACUAUACUUCU